rnacentral:rRNA from 1 species
AAACGAUGAGUGCUAGGUGUCGGGGGUCAAACCUCGGUGCCGGAGCUAACGCAAUAAGCACUCCGCCUGGGGAGUACGCUCGCAAGAGUAAAACUCAAAGGAAUUGACGGGGACCCGCACAAGUAGCGGAGCAUGUGGUUUAAUUCGACGCAACGCGAAGAACCUUACCUAAACUUGACAUCUUCUGAAAGGACCUUAAUCGGUUCCCUCCUUCGGGACAGAAUGACAGGUGGUGCAUGGUUGUCGUCAGCUCGUGUCGUGAGAUGUUGGGUUAAGUCCCGUAACGAGCGCAACCCUUGUCUUUAGUUGCCGUCGGUAAGCUGGGCACUCUAGAGAGACUGCCGUGGAUAACACGGAGGAAGGUGGGGAUGACGUCAAAUCAUCAUGCCCCUUAUGUUUAGGGCUACACACGUGCUACAAUGGCCGAUACAAAGGGCAGCAAGAGGGCGACCUUAAGCGAAUCCCAUAAAGUCGGUCCCAGUUCGGAUUGGAGGCUGAAACUCGCCUCCAUGAAGCUGGAGUUACUAGUAAUCGUGGAUCAGAUGCCACGGUGAAUGCGUCCCGGGUCUUGUACACACCGCCCGUCACACCACGGAAGUUGGAGGCACCCGAAGUCAGAGCAAUCUGCCGAAGGUGAAAUCAAUGACUGGGGUG